AUUGAACGCUGGCGGCAGGCCUAACACAUGCAAGUCGAACGAGUGGCGGACGGGUGAGUAAUGUCUGGGAAACUGCCUGCUGGAGGGGGAUAACUACUGGAAACGGUAGCUAAUACCGCAUACCAUCGGAUGUGCCCCGGUGGGAUUAGCUAGUAGGGGGGGUAACGGCUCACCUGGGCGACGAUCCCUAGCUGGUCUGAGAGGAUGACCAGCCACACUGGAACUGAGACACGGUCCAGACUCCUACGGGAGGCAGCAGUGGGGAAGAUUGCACAAUGGGCGCAAGCCGGAUGCAUCCAGGCCGCGUGUGUGAAGAAGGCCUUCGGGUUGUAAAGCACUUUCAUCGGGGAGGCGUUACCCGCAGAAGAAGCACCGGCUAACUCCGUGCCAGCAGCCGCGGUAAUAC
rnacentral:rRNA from 1 species